GCCCAGGUAGCUCAGUUGGUAGAGCACGGCACUGAAAAUGCCGGUGUCACUGGUUCGAAUCCGGUCCUGGGCACCA
rnacentral:tRNA from 1 species